UGCCUGCAUGGAGCUGGAGGCAAUGGGCCAGGGGGCCCCACUCGAGGGAGAGAAGUGUUCGGAUAGAGGCCUAGGCAUGAAAAAGGCAAAUCUCAAAAACUCACAAUCUGUUUUUUCUUCGAUCAAACAGAAUCGAGCAGACACCUCCAUCCAGUGAGACAUUUCCUGUGAGACAGCUGUGGAAACAACUCCUCACCUUCUCCUGCCUGGGAAGGUGCUCCUCAUGCUGAAAGGAAUGUUUUGGAUAAAACAGGGUUGAGUUCAUCAAAAUGUGCUCUGCUGUCAGUCCUUCGUCCUCUCCGGAUCUAGUAGGUUCCCUUGCCUGUGGAGCUGUAGGGAAGAAAUAAGAGGACCCUCAAAUACUUAACUGCAGAAGAAUGAAUGGAAAAAUCAGUGCAUGGCUCUGCUCACUGAAUACCAGUGCUGGACA